UACAGAGGUCUCGAGCGUUGUCCGGAUUUAUUGGGCGUAAAGAGCGUGUAGGCGGCCAGACAGGUCCGUUGUGAAAACUCGAGGCUCAACCUCGAGACGCCGAUGGAAACCGUCUGGCUAGAGUCCGGAAGAGGAGAAUGGAAUUCCCGGUGUAGCGGUGAAAUGCGCAGAUAUCGGGAAGAACACCCGUGGCGAAGGCGGUUCUCUGGGACGGUACUGACGCUGAGACGCGAAAGCGUGGGGAGCGAACAGG
rnacentral:rRNA from 1 species